rnacentral:misc_RNA from 1 species
GUUUUGUUGGUUUUGUUUCGUUGGGUUCACACGUGUGUCUGAUGACCGGGAUGAUGAUUGUGUUUUGUGUUAGAGGUGUUGGAUGAUUAUACCCUCGAUUUAUUAGUUUUAUUUAAAGUGUUAAUAAGAAAGAAAAUAAGAAUUUAAUAAGGGCCUAGGCCUAUUCAUUCAUCACCUAACAAGAUGGUCUACUGUCAAAGAAGUUGGAAAGUCGCCAGAAAAUUAUCCAGCAUCAACUUUGCUGCAGCUAUUGGUAAUCAUGGCAUUGUUUGUAAGCAUUUUAUAAACACAGGUAUUCUUGAGCUGAGUCAAGAAGUUCAAAAAGCACUGAAGUAUGGUUCACCCUUGGUGGCACUAGAAAGUACCAUCAUCACACAUGGGAUGCCAUACCCAUUCAACCUCAGAACUGCUCAGUCAGUGGAGCAGAUUGUUCGUGAUGGUGGAGGAGUUCCGGCUACCGUUGCAGUAUUUGACGGUAAAAUUCAUGUUGGGUUGACUACUAACCAACUUGAAAGAUUAGCAACUUGCAAGGAUGCUCUCAAGACCUCCAGGAGAGACCUAGCGUGGUCUGUCAGCCAAGGCAAAGUUGGUGGAACUACUGUAGCAGCAACUAUGAUCGCUGCGCACUUGGCUGGUAUACGUAUAUUUGUAACAGGCGGUAUUGGUGGCGUACAUCGGGGCGGCCACAAUAGUAUGGAUAUCAGCUCAGAUCUGACAGAGCUUGGUAGAACACCCGUGGCAGUGGUUUGUGCUGGUGCAAAGUCUAUAUUAGACAUUGGAAGAACUCUAGAAUAUUUAGAAACCCAGGGAGUAACAGUAGCAACAUAUGGGGAUUCAAAGUAUUUCCCAGCUUUCUUUGCACCAGCCAGCCCGUACUUGUCCCCUUGUAACAUUUCAAAUGCAACGGAAGCGGCUCAGGUUUUUGCAACAAAUGAAUCACUUGAACUGAAUAGUGGAGUUCUGAUUGCAGUUCCAAUCCCAGAAUGCAAUGCCAAGGACAGCAUUCAGGUGGAGCAUGCCAUACAAGAAGCCAUAGCUGAGGCAGAACACAAGGUACAAGUUGGAAAGGAUGUUACACCAUACAUCCUGAAAAGAGUCAAUGAAAUCACAGGAGGAAAGGCUCUUGAAGCUAAUAUUGCAUUGGUGAAAAAUAAUGCCAAAGUAGGAACUGAAAUAUCUGUAGAAUACAGCAAAAUCCGUGCUCAAAAAUCCUACAGAAUUGGGUCAAAGGGCGGAAACAGUACUCAACACAGCUACAGAGGACGACAGAGUAGUAAAGUGGCCAGAAGACCAGUAGUGGUUGGUGCCAGUAUAUAUGACUUGAAUGUCAUGACUUAUGGAACUGAUGUUAUUUAUGGUGGUACCACUAAUCCUGGUUCAAUCCAACAGGGAGUUGGUGGUGUUGGCAGAAACAUAGCGGAUUGCUUGUCAAGACUCGAUGUAGAUCCAUUAUUUAUAUCUGUUGUAGGAGAUGACAUUGAAGGUCAAAGUUUGAUGAGCCAAUCAAACCAUAUGGACACCAGUUGCAUUACUGUGCUGAUUGGUGAGAGGACGGCCUCAUACUGUGCUGGGUUGAAUGGCAGUGGUGAUGUGUUCCUAGGAGUUGGUGAUGCUAAGAUUUGUGAUCAAAUAACACCUGAGCUAGUCAGUGGUUACAAAGAGGUCAUUUCACAGGCACCCCUUGUGUGUAUAGAUGGUAACAUUCCAAGGGACACCAUUCAAUAUGUGUGUGAUGUAUGUAAUGAUCAUAAUAUACCAAUUUGGUAUGAGCCUACCUGUGCACUGAAAGCUAUAAAACCAUUUGAAACAAACGCUGGAAAAUUCCUCACCUAUGUUAGUCCAAAUCUCAGGGAACUACGUCAAAUGUACGCUGCUGUUGAAGGACACCAGCCUCAAUCUGUACAUGAUGAAGACAUGUCGUUGACUGACAUUAUUCGAGAGUGUCAUCAUCUUUGCAGCGUAUUAAUUAGUCAUGGCCUUCAUUGCAUCAUAUUGACUCUCGGUCCAGAUGGCAUUCUUGUCUGUCGUAACACCGAACCGGAAGAUAUGUUUCCAUGCAGUUAUGUGACAAGGCGUAAUUUGGUGGCCAUGCUACAAUAAAGAGAAGGGCACAAGAUCGCACUGUACGGCAGAAACUAUGAACAACCAACUCAUACAAAGGGCUGCUGCAAUAAGUAGAUUACCGAUGAUGAUAUUAUCGUGUCCACUGAAAUCUUCAACGUUUACAGAUAUGAUCGGAGGGGCAGGCCCUAGAAAGGACCCACCCUGGUCUAGGAUGAAUCUGCAAUGAGCAUGGCAUCUCUUCUACAUUACCCAGCAUGCAGUGAGGUGCACUUGCCUGGGGAGGUUGUCAGUGUUUCCGGUGCAGGAGAUUGCCUCGCUUCAGGUGUGAU